AUUAUGUACAUGAAUAAACAGUUGAUAACAGACAAAUGCACCAAUGACGACAAAAUUUAUCAGUAAUUUUCACCACGAUGUGCCGUCAUAUGUAAUCGCAGUACCAACGUAAUCGAAGGUUGGACAAUAAGAAGAUUUCGUGUUACAAUUUCUUCACACCCAGUCGUUUUUUCAAGCAUUGUUUUGUGAGUUAAAAUCCACCCUAAGUUGGUGAAAAAUGAAUUUAUAGCAUGGCGGAUAUUAAACAACUAAUAUUAUACGUCGUACUGUUGUUCAUGUGUCCAUUCUCGACAAUAUGCGUCAUCGUGCAUUUGUACAAAUUUUCCAAGAGUACGGCACCACAAAGUCUGUCAACGAAGAACCUUACUUUUUACUGUUUUAUACUGUUGCUCAUCUACAUCCUAACAUUUACAUACAUUGUUACGAUUAUGAUGUUUUUCCGUAGAAUACAGAAUUAUAUUCUGA